rnacentral:rRNA from 1 species
AUGGCGUCGUCGUGGGCGCUUCUGGCCGCGGUGCUGGUGGCAACCCACGGCGUGGCGGUGGUGUCUGGCACCCGGGCGGCGGCGGACGCUACACGGCUGCCGUCGUCGGGGCCGGGGUUCAGGGAGGCGCCUGCGUUCCGGAACGGCGACGGGUGCCCGCCGCGGGGGGCGGGGGAGCGCGUGCACAUCGCCAUGACGCUGGACGCCAACUACCUCCGCGGCACCAUCGCCGCCGUCUUCUCCAUCCUGCAGCACACGGCGUGCCCGGAGGACGUGUCCUUCCACUUCCUGGCGGCGCGGCGGCGGGACGCCGACGCCGUGCGCGCCACCUUCCCGUACCUGGACCCCAGCGUGUACCUCUUCGACCCGGCCCGCGUCAGCGGCCGCAUCUCCCGCUCCGUGCGCCACGCGCUGGACCAGCCGCUCAACUACGCUCGCAUCUACCUCGCCGACACGCUGCCCCGCGCCGUGCGCCGGGUCAUCUACCUCGACUCCGACGUGGUGGUCGUCGACGACGUCCGGAAGCUCUGGUCCGUGGACCUCGACGCCGGCGGCGGCCACGUGGUGGCGGCGCCCGAGUACUGCCACACCAACUUCACCAAGUACUUCACCGACGCCUUCUGGUCGGACCCGCGGCUCAGCGCCACGUUCCGGCAGGGCCCGCACCGGCGGCGCCGGCCGUGCUACUUCAACACGGGCGUGAUGGUGAUCGACGUGGCGCGGUGGCGCGCGGGGGGCUACUCGAGGCGGGUGGAGGAGUGGAUGGCGAUCCAGAAGGAGGAGAAGCGGAUCUACAGCCUGGGGUCGCUGCCGCCGUUCCUGCUGGUGCUCGCCGGCGAGAUCAUGCCGGUGGACCACCGGUGGAACCAGCACGGGCUCGGCGGGGACAACGCGGAGGGGAGGUGCCGGAGCCUCCACCCGGGCCCCAUCAGCCUGCUGCACUGGAGCGGGAAGGGGAAGCCGUGGCUGCGGCUCGACACCCGGAAGCCGUGCACCGUCGACUACCUCUGGGAACCCUACGACCUCUACAAGGCCGCCGCCGCCACCGCGAUCGAGGAGUGA